rnacentral:rRNA from 1 species
AGUGAACGCUGGCGGUAGGCCUAACACAUGCAAGUCGAACGAGUGGCGUACGUGUGAUUAAUACCUCGGAAUCUACUCUGUCGUGGGGGAUAACGUCUGGAAACUUACUCUAAUACCGCAUUCUCUUGCAUGAUCCGAUGUGUGAUUGGCUAGUUGGCGGGGUAAAGGCCCACCAAGGCGACGCUCCGGAGCUGGUCUGAGAGGAUGAUCAGCCCCACUGGAACUGAGACCCGGUCCAGACUCCUACGGGAGGCAGCAGUGGGGAAUAUUGGACAAUGGGCGCAAGCCUGAUCCAGCCAUACCGCGUGGGUGAAGAAGGCCUUCGGGUUGUAAAGCCCUUUUGUUGGGAAAGCGGUACCCAAAGAAUAAGCACCGGCUAACUUCGUGCCAGCAGCCGCGGUAAUAG